UUCUACCCAGAGCCAUAUAGAGUGAGAGUUGCGACAACUCCAUUGACUCCAAUGGAACGCUUUUUUUACAGCAAUGGCGGCUCGUGGAGCCUCUCAAUAGUUCCCGGAAGUAGAGGCAAACCGAUGCCGCGCCGUAGAAGAUGCAGCAGAACAAACCGUUUGCGACGCACUUUUAACAGACCCAGGUAACUGGCUGAUGGUUCACUGGAAUGCUGACUGGCUGCUGACUGACUUGCUGCUGGUUGACUGGGCAGUGUCACCUGUCCCUGUCUCUUCUCUCUAGCCAUGUCCUUUUUCUUCACUCUCACUUUCCUUUCUCUGAGUGUCCUCGUUCUUUUUUCCUCAACCUUUGAAACUGAUAGAGGUAGAAUACAUGGUUUUGCUAAUUUUAAAUAUUGAAAAUAUCACAUCACUUUACUUCAACUAGUACGAGUUUGUACUUAUUAUAUAUGAAUCACCUGAAAUAACAUAGCUGUAAUCAGCAGCCAUUUCUUGUAUGUUCACAGGUCUAGGGGUGCAUCGUGGAGCAGGGCCCUCCUCUUUUUGACCACAGGACGGUGUACAAAGAUUGUGGGAAUAGCAUCUGGUCUCAGCCUACUCUUGAAUUUUUUGGCCAAGACAAAUUGCAUUGCCGCAAUUUGUCUGCAUACUGACUUCAGUUUAGUUUCCACACACACCUUUUUCUUGUCUACCCACUUACAGUACAUAUCACAUGGUGGUUAAAUGCACAGUUAUAGGUAACACUGAUGACUCCCUGCAAUGUCUCACCAUGAGUCUCAGCUCCCUGGGUUUUGCAAGGCUUUGCUUGUUCCUUAUUUCUAGUAAAACAUUGUCAAUGUAAAAAAGUGCAAAUAAAUGUAAGUAUAAUUACCUAACAAUUUUUUGUUGUUGUAAUUUUUAUUUGUAUUUAGAUUGCUCCUGCUGACUUGAGCCAACCAUUAUUUUCUCCUCUCUAUGUCAGCGGGGAAGCCAUACAUUCGCACACCUUUCUCUGACUGAGUGGAGCAUCCCCAUGCAGCACAGUAAACCACGGUGGAGACUAUGCAAGGACAACAUGAAAGAAAGGACACAUACAAAAUGCUUGUCAUGCUAUUAAAUUUAUUAGAAAUGUAUUCAUGAAUUGCUGUAAAUAGUUAAUUGUAUAAUUACAAUUUAAAAUAACUGUUUUCUAUUUUAAAAUGGAAUAUACUCCUGUGAUGCCAA